rnacentral:rRNA from 1 species
AUUGAACGCUGGCGGAAUGCUUUACACAUGCAAGUCGAACGGCAGCACGGGGCAACCUGGUGGCGAGUGGCGAACGGGUGAGUAAUACAUCGGAACGUGCCCAGUCGUGGGGGAUAACGUAGCGAAAGUUACGCUAAUACCGCAUACGAUCUAAGGAUGAAAGCGGGGGAUCGCAAGACCUCGCGCGAUUGGAGCGGCCGAUGUCAGAUUAGGUAGUUGGUGGGGUAAAGGCCUACCAAGCCGACGAUCUGUAGCUGGUCUGAGAGGACGACCAGCGACACUGGGACUGAGACACGGCCCAGACUCCUACGGGAGGCAGCAGUGGGGAAUUUUGGACAAUGGGCGCAAGCCUGAUCCAGCCAUUCCGCGUGCAGGAUGAAGGCCUUCGGGUUGUAAACUGCUUUUGUACGGAGCGAAAAGGCUCUCUCUAAUACAGGGGGCUCAUGACGGUACCGUAAGAAUAAGCACCGGCUAACUACGUGCCAGCCGCCGCCGUAAUAC